rnacentral:rRNA from 1 species
GAGUGAAGCGGCAACAGCUCAAAUUUGAAAUCUGGCGCAAGCCCGAGUUGUAAUUUGUAGAGGAUGCUUCUGGGCAGCGGCCGGUCUAAGUUCCUUGGAACAGGACGUCAUAGAGGGUGAGAAUCCCGUAUGCGACCGGUUGGCACCCGUCACGUAGCUCCUUCGACGAGUCGAGUUGUUUGGGAAUGCAGCUCUAAAUGGGUGGUAAAUUCCAUCUAAAGCUAAAUACCGGCCAGAGACCGAUAGCGCACAAGUAGAGUGAUCGAAAGAUGAAAAGCACUUUGGAAAGAGAGUUAAAAAGCACGUGAAAUUGUUGAAAGGGAAGCGCAUGCAACCAGACUUGUCGGCGGUGUUCCGCCGGUCUUCUGACCGGUCUACUCGCCGCCGGCAGGCCAGCAUCGUGUGGGUGCGCCGGAUAAAGGCGCCGGGAAUGUGGCCCCUCGGGGUGUUAUAGCCCGGCGUAUAAUACGGCGCCGCCCGCGCGAGGUCCGCGCUUCGGCUAGGAUGCUGGCGUAAUGGUUG